UGUGUGUGUCUUAGUAGAGAGCAAGAUGG
rnacentral:piRNA from 1 species